rnacentral:rRNA from 1 species
GACGAACGCUGGCGGCGUGCCUAAUACAUGCAAGUUGAGCGAUGAAGAUUGGUGCUUGCACCAAUUUGAAGAGCAGCGAACGGGUGAGUAACGAGUGGGGAAUCUGCCUUUGAGCGGGGGACAACAUUUGGAAACGAAUGCUAAUACCGCAUAACAACUUUAAACAUAAGUUUUAAGUUUGAAAGAUGCAAUUGCAUCACUCAAAGAUGAUCCCGCGUUGUAUUAGCUAGUUGGUGAGGUAAAGGCUCACCAAGGCGAUGAUACAUAGCCGACCUGAGAGGGUGAUCGGCCACAUUGGGACUGAGACACGGCCCAAACUCCUACGGGAGGCAGCAGUAGGGAAUCUUCGGCAAUGGACGAAAGUCUGACCGAGCAACGCCGCGUGAGUGAAGAAGGUUUUCGGAUCGUAAAACUCUGUUGGUAGAGAAGAACGUUGGUGAGAGUGGAAAGCUCAUCAAGUGACGGUAACUACCCAGAAAGGGACGGCUAACUACGUG